GCCAGAUUAUAUUCGACCUAACUAUAAUUUAACCGUAGCGAUCGUAUCUUACAUUAUCUUUGUAAGAGAUAGGCACCCGACGAACACGACCAAAUGUAAAAAGAAAAAAGAAAAGAAAGAAG